UACGAAGGUGGCAAGCGUUAUCCGGAAUCACUGGGUUUAAAGGGUGCGUAGGCGGCGGCGUAAGUCAGUUGUGAAAUUCCCCGGCUUAACCGGCGGAAGUGCGAUUGAUACUGCGUCGCUUGAAUCAGGUUGAGGUAGGCGGAAUGUGGCAUGUAGCGGUGAAAUGCAUAGAUAGGCCAUAGAACACCGAUUGCGAAGGCAGCU
rnacentral:rRNA from 1 species